GAUGAACGCUAGCUACAGGCUUAACACAUGCAAGUCGAGGGGAAACGACAUCGAAAGCUUGCUUUUGAUGGGCGUCGACCGGCGCACGGGUGAGUAACGCGUAUCCAACCUGCCCACCACUUGGGGAUAACCUUGCGAAAGUAAGACUAAUACCCAAUGAUAUCUCUAGAAGACAUCUGAAAGAGAUUAAAGAUUUAUCGGUGACGGAUGGGGAUGCGUCUGAUUAGCUUGUUGGCGGGGUAACGGACCACCAAGGCUACGAUCAGUAGGGGUUCUGAGAGGAAGGUCCCCCACAUUGGAACUGAGACACGGUCCAAACUCCUACGGGAGGCAGCAGUGAGGAAUAUUGGUCAAUGGGCGAGAGCCUGAACCAGCCAAGUAGCGUGCAGGAUGACGGCCCUAUGGGUUGUAAACUGCUUUUAUAAGGGAAUAAAGUGAGUCUCGUGAGACUUUUUGCAUGUACCUUAUGAAUAAGGACCGGCUAAUUCCGUGCCAGCCGCCGCCGUAA
rnacentral:rRNA from 1 species